rnacentral:rRNA from 1 species
AAAUAGUACUUUGCAGAGAGAGUUAACAGGGCGUGAAACCGUUAAUUGGCAAACGAAUCGGAGCCACGAAGUCGUUUCGCUGAGCUGGGUUGAGUUCAGCCCAGGACUGCUUCGGUGGUCUUGGGUGUAUUCUUGGCCUGGCCAUUGUAAGCGUACACUGCAACCAGUUAGACGAUUGAUGAUGGGCCCAGUUGCUCUGGUCAGUAGUAGCGCGGUGCAUUUCGGUGUAUUCGUGUUGCUGGGCCAGUGGCAAGAGAACUAUCUUCAAAUACUGACUGGCACAAUGAAAAUCGCGCAAGCGUUUUACACAAAGCGGCUAGGCACUUGGGGGCCCACGCAGCCGACCAUGGGGUCUUAAGCUCGGCAUUCUUGAAUUUAGGCUUGCUUGCUACCAAUGGGGCAACUCUUGGUGCUUGUACAGUUUCUAUCUAAUCGGGUGUCGACUUGACUGUGUGUCGUUUGGUUGCGCUAUGGUGGGCUGCCAAUGUGACUUGGUUUGCAAUAAUUGGCAGUGAGUAGGUCGGCUUUCCGAACGACCCGUCUUGAAACACGGACCAAGGAGUCUAAUUAGGCAUCAAGUCGAUCGGUCUUGAAUAGGCCAGACUCAGGGAGCAUCCUGGAUUGAAGGCGUAGAGACAAUCAUGUGAUCGUUGGGCAAAACAGUCCUUGCGCGCAACAUGUGCCUGUUCGUAUAGCAAUGUAGCAAUAAUUGCUGGGCGGAGCAAAGAGAUGUCUGAUUGGUACCCGAAAGAUGGUGAUGCCUGGGCAAGUUGAAGCCAGAGGAAACUCUGGUGGAGGACUGUAGCGAUUCUGACGUGCAAAUCGAUCGUCAGACCUGGGUAUAGGGGCGAAAGACUAAUCGAACCAUC